rnacentral:tRNA from 1 species
UUAAUUGAAACCAAAAAAAGAGGUAUAUUACUGUUAAUAAUAAAAUUGAAAUUUAUUUCCAAUUAAA